rnacentral:rRNA from 1 species
AGCCGAGACUCUAUAGCGUUCUUUCGAUGUCAUCGAGGCAUCGAGAGUUUGAUUGGUCAUUCAACCAUCUUUAUGACAACAUUCAGUUUACUGGAGAUUUUGAGAUGAGCCAGUGAUUGCUAGAUGCGUAUCACUACGUGAGCGUUAUAGAGAUAUGUCAGCUACAA